GGAUGUGAGGGCGAUCUGGUGGCGACAUCUGUCACCCCACUGAUCGCCAGGGUUGAUUCAUCUGAUCUGGCUGGCCAGGCGGGUGUCCCCUUCCUCCUUCACAGCUCCAUGUGCACCCCUCCCAAAGCCGCACACACUUGGUUGAAGAGGAGGACCUUUCCUGAUAGAGGAGAACCGUUCUUUGGUCAAGGGUAUACGAGUAGCUGCGCUCCCCUGCUAGAACCUCCAAACAAGCUCUCAAGAAGGACACAUUAAGUUUAAGAACCACUAGUGAGAGGCAGACAUAUAUAGAUGGAAUUGAAUACAAGGGAACCCAUGAAAACAUUU
rnacentral:snRNA from 1 species